UUAGUGGACCUCCCUCCAACUCAUCCUCCUUGUGAAUAUAAACUGGGAUAAAAAUGUCAUUCAUUUUUCCAAGAGUUACCACCCACAUGUGCAUGAGGGGAGCAGGAGAGCUGGCGCAGGUAUGUGGAUUAUUGGAGACGCCAUCAGUGUUGAUGGAGGCCUGAGCAGCAGAUAUGACUAUGAAACAUGUCAUCACUGCGGCUGUUGACAGCGAUGUAGCCGUCUGUCUGAGAAUGGAGCCCACAAACAUAGAGGUUGGGGCUGAUGACACAACUAGAAAGCAAUUAACGGAGCAUAUUGAGACGCUCUGUCUUCCUGCAAUCCUGUUUUGAGUACCAUUAAUUCAGUGUUAUCAUCGGAGAUAGAAUUUUUUAUUGCUUCAGCCAAUUUAAUUUGGUUUUCUGUUAGCCACAAAUUUAAACAUUUUGGAGAAGCUUUACUCUUCCUCUUGCAAUUCGAACUUCAGAGAAGGCCAGGUUGAAAACUGAGAAAGGUAAAUAAUUGUUACACAUUUUGAGGAACAAUAAAUA